ACAAAUCAGAUUUUUGGCAUCCCCUGCAACAAAAAUUUUACUUUUGGUAACAUACUCCCAAUAGGAAAUCAUGUCUAAAAGGAUGCAGACCCAGCAGUUUUCCUCCUUGGUGCCCUACAGCUGCAGCAGCUGGUUGAUAAUUAUGAAGCCACUUAGAUUCACUUUCCCACAUGGACACAAAGGGUUCAAAACCAUGCAAUGUACAUGUAUCACCCAGAGGGGAAUGUUUUUUUUUCCACAAAAGUGGAGUUGUGCUUUAAAGUUGUCAGACUGAGUUAUGCUAUUUUAUAGAAGAACUGUAAUGUGAAAGUAUAGACUGGUAACUUCUUAAAAUCCAGGUACCUGGCUAUCAUUUUCAAUCAAUACUCACUGACUUGGUAUAUGAAUUAAGCUUUCAGACUUUCCUGGUCUGCGUACUUGUCCCAGUCCAAUGAGUUGGUAAUUGUUGACGUCAGAGACAACUAGAAAACUGGCGUUGGCAAGGAUAUUCUCUGUAAAUUCCAAAUACAGGUUUACUUUUAAAAUGAGACAUUCCACCUGUUAAUGUGGAUAAAACUGUAUUCUUUAUAUUUGAAUCGCCACUGUGCAGUUUUUGGCAGGGAAAAGGUUAGGAUACAAAUGUGAAUCUAUUGAAUUCCAUUAUUUUGCUCAAUGCACUGUAGAUGUGUGCCACUUUGUUUAUUCAGCAAGUUAUGCACAUGAGGCCUUAUAUGUGAAAUUAUAGAAUAGGUUGGAGUUGUUGCAAAUAGUAGCCCGUUAUAUCUUUGCUUUCUCGCUUUAACAUCAACUUAAAACCUUCAUUUGGAAUACUAACUGCACUGUUCUAUCUCACACUGUGUAUACAUAUGCGAUAGAUAAUCCUGUCCUUGGAGUUAUGACAGUACCACAGUUGUAUAUUCUUUUAUUGACAGCCAUUGACAAUUACUGUAGACUGUGUAAGAUAUAGUGACAGUUCUAUUUUGUGUAGAAGGUGAUGAAUGGUCAUCAGGGGUUAUGUAAUUACACACUAGUACACACUCAGUAAUAUGCAUUGCUGUACAUUCCUAUAUGUAGCAUCAUAAACUCACUAAAUUACAUCUUGUAUAGUAAUUUUUGACUGACAGCUUAAACUACACCAUCUAUGCUGCCAAGUGCCAAGACAUCAGAAAAAGACAAAUCUACUAAGUUAAACCAUUUCUGAAAGACUUCUGUUUUCCCUUCUUGGGUUUUUACAAUUUAUGUGUUUUUCAAAAUGUUAUUUGUAUAUAUGGGUUUCCUAUGUUAAUAAUGCAGUAUGUUGUCUAUUUAUAUAAUUUAUCUCUUUAAUUAUACCAUUCACAUUUCUGCAAUA